ACGAACGCUGGCGGCGUGCCUAAUACAUGCAAGUAGAACGCUGAAGAGAGGAGCUUGCUCUUCUUGGAUGAGUUGCGAACGGGUGAGUAACGCGUAGGUGACCUGCCUUGUAGCGGGGGAUAACUAUUGGAAACGAUAGCUAAUACCGCAUAACAAUGGAUGACACAUGUCAUUUAUUUGAAAGGGGCAAUUGCUCCACUACAAGAUGGACCUGCGUUGUAUUAGCUAGUAGGUGAGGUAAUGGCUCACCUAGGCGACGAUACAUAGCCGACCUGAGAGGGUGAUCGGCCACACUGGGACUGAGACACGGCCCAGACUCCUACGGGAGGCAGCAGUAGGGAAUCUUCGGCAAUGGGGGCAACCCUGACCGAGCAACGCCGCGUGAGUGAAGAAGGUUUUCGGAUCGUAAAGCUCUGUUGUAAGUCAAGAACGGGUGUGAGAGUGGAAAGUUCACACUGUGACGGUAGCUUACCAGAAAGGGACGGCUAACUACGUG
rnacentral:rRNA from 1 species